rnacentral:rRNA from 1 species
CAACCGACACUGGUGCGCGAGAUGAGUAUUCUAAGGCGCUUGAGAGAACUCAGGAGAAGGAACUCGGCAAAUUGACACCGUAACUUCGGAAGAAGGUGUGCCCUAUUAGUGUGUAGUGAACAACGAAGCAUGAAUGGGUUGCAAAAAAUCGGUGGCUGCGACUGUUUAUUAAAAACACGGCACUCUGCAAACACGAAAGUGGACGUAUAGGGUGUGACGCCUGCCCGGUGCUGGAAGAUUAAAUGAUGGGGUGCAAGCUCUUGAUUGAAGUCCCAGUAAACGGCGGCCGUAACAAUAACGGUCCUAAGGUAGCGAAAUUCCUUGUCGGGUAAGUUCCGACCUGCACGAAUGGCGUAACGAUGGCCACACUGUCUCCUCCUGAGACUCAGCGAAGUUGAAAUGUUUGUGAUGAUGCAACCUCCCCGCGGAAAGACGGAAAGACCCCAUGAACCUUUACUGUAGCUUUGUAUUGGACUUUGAACAGAUCUGUGUAGGAUAGGUGGCAGGCUUUGAAGCAGGGUCGCUAGAUCUUGUGGAGCCAACGUUGAAAUACCACCCUGGUGUGUUUGAGGUUCUAACCUAGGUCCAUUAUCUGGAUCGGGGACAGUGCAUGGUAGGCAGUUUGACUGGGGCGGUCUCCUCCCAAAGCGUAACGGAGGAGUUCGAAGGUACGCUAGUUACGGUCGGACAUCGUGACGAUAGUGCAAUGGCAUAAGCGUGCUUAACUGCGAGACUGACAAGUCGAGCAGAUGCGAAAGCAGGACAUAGUAUCCGGUGGUUCUGUAUGGAAGGGCCAUCGCUCAACGGAUAAAAGGUACUCUGGGGAUAACAGGCUGAUACCGCCCAAGAGUUCAUAUCGACGGCGGUGCUUGGCACCUCGAUGUCGGCUCAUCUCAUCCUGGGGCUGUAGCCGGUCCCAAGGGUAUGGCUGUUCGCCAUUUAAAGAGGUACGUGAGCUGGGUUUAAAACGUCGUGAGACAGUUUGGUCCCUAUCUUCCGUGGGCGCUGCAGAUUUGAGGAAGCCUGCUCCUAGUACGAGAGGACCGGAGUGGACACACCUCUGGUGUAUCGGUUGUCACGCCAGUGGCAUUGCCGAGUAGCUAAGUGUGGAAGAGAUAACCGCUGAAAGCAUCUAAGCGGGAAACUCGUUUCAAGAUGAGAUCUGCCGGGGCCUUGAGCCCCCUAAAGAGUCGUUCAAGACCAGGACGUUGAUAGGUCAGGUGUGGAAGCUAA